rnacentral:tRNA from 12 species
CUUCAAGGCCGCGGCGCUCUCACUGUAAUCAGGGGGUUCGACUCCUCCUCUU